rnacentral:misc_RNA from 2 species
CAACCCUCAAGCCCCAGCGGCCUGGUGUUGGGGACCGGCGACCUCGCUGACGCCCUUCUUGGGCCCAGCGUCCGCCGCCCCCGAAAUGAAUUGGCGGUCUCGUCGCGGCCUCCUCUGCGUAGUAGCACAACCUCGCAACAGGAGCGCGACGCGGCCACUGCCGUAAAACGCCCAACUUUUUUAG